rnacentral:rRNA from 1 species
UACAGAGGGGGCAAGCGUUGUCCGGAAUUAUUGGGCGUAAAGGGCUCGUAGGCGGUCUGUUGCGUCGGGAGUGAAAACUCAGGGCUUAACCCUGAGCCUGCUUCCGAUACGGGCAGACUAGAGGUAUGCAGGGGAGAACGGAAUUCCUGGUGUAGCGGUGAAAUGCGCAGAUAUCAGGAGGAACACCGGUGGCGAAGGCGGUUCUCUGGGCAUUACCUGACGCUGAGGAGCGAAAGUGUGGGGAGCGAACAGG